AGUGAACGCUGGCGGUAGGCCUAACACAUGCAAGUCGAACGGCAGCACAGUAAGAGCUUGCUCUUACGAGUGGCGAGUGGCGGACGGGUGAGGAAUACAUCGGAAUCUACUUUUUCGUGGGUGAUAACGUAGGGAAACUUACGCUAAUACUGCAUACGACCUACGGGUGAAAGCAGGGGAUCUUCGGACCUCGCGCGAUUGAAUGAGCCGAUGUCGGAUUAGCUAGUUGGCGGGGUAAAGGCCCACCAAGGCGACGAUCCGUAGCUGGUCUGAGAGGAUGAUCAGCCACACUGGAACUGAGACACGGUCCAGACUCCUACGGGAGGCAGCAGUGGGGAAUAUUGGAGAAUGGGCGCAAGCCUGAUCCAGCCAUACCGCGUGGGUGAAGAAGGCCUUCGGGUUGUAAAGACCUUUUGUUGGGAAAGAAGAGCAGCAGGUUAAUACCCCGCUGUUCUGACGGUACCUAAAGAAUAAGCACCGGCUAACUUCGUG
rnacentral:rRNA from 1 species